GACGAACGCUGGCGGCGUGCCUAAUACAUGCAAGUCGAGCGAAGAGUUGGGAGCUUGCUCCCUGAUCUUAGCGGAGGACGGGUGAGUAACACGUGGGCAACCUGCCCUGCAGACUGGGAUAACUCCGGGAAACCGGAGCUAAUACCGGGUAAUACAUCGCACCGCAUGGUGCAAUGUUGAAAGUUGGCUUUCUGAGCUAACACUGCAGGAUGGGCCCGCGGCGCAUUAGCUAGUUGGUAAGGUAAUGGCUUACCAAGGCGACGAUGCGUAGCCGACCUGAGAGGGUGAUCGGCCACACUGGGACUGAGACACGGCCCAGACUCCUACGGGAGGCAGCAGUAGGGAAUCUUCCGCAAUGGACGAAAGUCUGACGGAGCAACGCCGCGUGAGUGACGAAGGCCUUCGGGUCGUAAAGCUCUGUUGUUAGGGAAGAACAAGUACCGUUCGAAUAGGGCGGUACCUUGACGGUACCUAACCAGAAAGCCACGGCUAACUACGUGCCAGCAGCCGCGGUAAUAC
rnacentral:rRNA from 1 species